rnacentral:lncRNA from 1 species
CGAGUAAGAUUUCCAAAUGAAAUUGAAGCCACAGCAAAUAGUGCAUAGCUCCAAGGCUUCGAAACAAAUAUAGAAGCUAUACGAUGCCAGAAAGACUACAGAGAAUCGAAGAGCGCUAACCAGGAAACAGCGUAAAAGGGCCAAGUCGUUGAGCAAGGGCGUGCUCAUAGCAUGGAAAUACAAUGCAAACGGUGCCAACAUAAAAUUAAACUGCCAAGGCAUAAGCAAGAAUUUUUACCUGAAACUGUGACGCCUGCCCACAGCAUCAAAUAAGGAUAUCGUUCCAAUGAAACCCAAUAUUAACGACGUAUUUUGACGACGAUGAACUCUUUGCGAACGCUCCGGGUUUUCAUCACCGGGCUUGUAAAUUGAUGGCACGGAGCCUCGUUUCAACAAUCUUCUUUUUGCAUAACCUUAGAAAUGUUUUAAACACUUUCAUUAAUAUAAACACAAUAAACGAAAUAAAUAAACAUCCUA